rnacentral:rRNA from 1 species
UACGUAGGGGGCAAGGCGUGUCCGGAUUUAUUGGGCGUAAAGAGCGUGUAGGCGGCCGUACAGGUCAGCUGUGAAAACUCGAGGCUCAACCUCGAGACGUCGGUUGAAACCGUACGGCUAGAGUCCGGAAGAGGAGAGUGGAAUUCCCGGUGUAGCGGUGAAAUGCGCAGAUAUCGGGAAGAACACCCGUGGCGAAGGCGGCUCUCUGGGACGGUACUGACGCUGAGACGCGAAAGCGUGGGGAGCGAACAGG